AAUUAUUGAUGUUUUAUAGUUUUGGAGUUUUUAGGUGCAGUUGUGUUAAAGUUUUGUUAAUUGAAUCCCUUAUUUGUCAUAUUGCCAACACAUCUGUGUUUUGAAACAUUUCUGAGCAGUGUGUUUCUGUGUGUGUGUGUGUGUAUGUGUGUAUUUGCGUAUGUGUGCGCAUUUGUGUGUGUGUGUAUGAAUACAUGUGUGCGUGUGUGUACGUGUGUGGAUGUGUGUGGGUGCAUGUACACGUGUGUGUGUGCAUAUGUGUUUGUGUGUGCGUGUGUGUGUAUGUGCAGGAGAAUACUACUGUGAGGCAGAGAAUGGGACUGAGACAGACAUCACUCCUCCUAACGGUCUUGAUGUGCAGUAUCCUCCGAAGAGUGUCUCAGUGUCAGUGAGCCCCUCUGGUGAAAUAGUGGAGGGCAGUUCAGUGACUCUGACCUGCAUGAAUAAUGCCAACCCACCAGUGCAGAAAUACACCUGGUAUAAGAAUAGAGCUGAACUCUCAUGGAGAGGAUCCAGUUACACCAUUAAAAGCAUCACACUGCAGAAUGCAGGAGAAUACUACUGUGCGGCACAGAAUGUGAUUGGGAGAAACACAUCUCCUCUUAUACGUCUUGAUGUGCAAUAUCCUCCGAAGAGCGUCUCAGUAUCAGUGAGCCCCUCUGGUGAAAUAGUGGAGGGCAGUGCAGUGACUCUGACCUGCAUGAAUAAUGCCAACCCACCAGUGCAGAAAUACACCUGGUAUAAGAAUAGAGCUGAACUCUCAUGGACAGGAUCCAGUUACACCAUUAAAAGCAUCACACUGCAGGAUGCAGGAGAAUACUACUGUGCGGCACAGAAUGUGAUUGGGACAGAACAAUCUCCUCCUAAACGUCUA